AGAUGAGAAUGGAUUCACAAUCAAGUAUGUGAUUGUAUACACUCACUCAUCACUGGGAAGUGAGCCGAUGGAGAUUCUGUUGGACUGUGCCUCAAGAACUGAAUGUACACACAUCCUCAAUGUUAAUAACUCUCAUGGGGAGUACUCAAUAGCAACUGGUGCUGUGACUCCAGUGGGAAAAGCAAUCCAACAGGACAACUCCACCAUAACGAUUGGAACAAACACUUUUGUACGAGUUACUGUUGAUGUAUUUCAGAGUUUCACAGCUGUCAACUGUUUUUUCUUCGACAAAUACAAUCAAAUAUCCUGUGAAGUAGAGUACAGCCAAGAUUGCGAUACCCUUAUUCAGAAAAAAAGAAAUGGAGCUUCAAUUAAUGAGUCAGAUGUGGCUAUACUUCUUAAUGAUGUCUUACCAUCAACACAAUACUGCUUUGUCUUGACAGCUGAAAAUCAAACGUAUACUGUGAAAAUACAAGGACAAUUCACAGGACACAGUGUAGAAAGCACCCUCGUGAUAAGCACAAGCAUAACUACACACUUUACUCCAGGAUACAAUGUGGUAGAGAGCAAUCUCAGCAUAAGCAUAAUAACAAGUGUCACCAUCUUUGUAGCUUUAGUCUCUCUAAUAACACUCAUUGCAAUCAUUAUUGUCUGUUACAAGAAAAAGAGAAGCUCAAAAAGUGAUGAAUCUAUAGAACCUGUUUAUUACUCCGUUGUAAGGCCCGUGGCUGAGGAAGUCACACCUGAUCCAACUUAUGAUGAGAUCUCAGUAGCUGUGAAAACAUGGAGGGAUAUCACCACGGAAGCCAACGAAGCAUACCACCCCGUGUCAGUGCAACCUAACGAGGCCUACCAAACAACCAACAUCAUGCAACCUAACGAGGCCUACCAACCAACAAACAUCAUGCAUGAUAAUUAGUCUAUAUAUAUCUCACACCCAGCUUGAAUUUUUUCAUGGACGCUAUAUAGAUCAAGUCAGUUGCAGGUAGAUAUAAUUAUG